GAGCUGCUGCUCUUCUCCUGUCUCCCAUCCCCUCCCCUGGCCAUGACAGAGACUCGGGAGCCAGCUGAGACUGGGGGCUACGCCAGCUUAGAAGAAGAUGAUGAAGACCUCUCCCCAGGCCCUGAGCAUUCCUCUGACUCCGAAUAUACUCUCUCAGAGCCGGAUUCUGAAGAAGAAGAAGAUGAAGAGGAGGAGGAGGAGGAGACCACUGAUGAUCCCGAAUAUGACCCGGGCUACAAGGUGAAGCAGCGCCUUGGGGGAGGCCGGGGAGGCCCGUCUCGCCGGGCCCCCCGUGCAGCCCAACCCCCAGGUCCCCCAGCCCAGCCUUGCCAGCUCUGUGGCCGCUCACCGCUUGGGGAGGUCCCACCGGGCACCCCACCUUGCCGGCUCUGCUGCCCUGCUACAGCUCCCCAGGAAGCACCAGCCCCUGAAGGGAGGGCCCUCAGGGAGGAAGAGGAGGAGCCACCCCGAGCUGGGGAGGGACGGCCAGCUGGGCGGGGGGAGGAGGACGAUGAGGAGGAGGAGGGCACUUACCACUGUACAGAGUGCGAGGACUCCUUUGACAACCUCGGCGAGCUCCACGGCCACUUCAUGCUGCAUGCCCGGGACUCCAGGAUGAAGAGGCUCCAACACAACAGAAUUUUGUUUCUCACUCAUUUAAUAGUCUCAGCAUUGAGAAUGCACCAGUGAAUAAGAUCCUUGUCUUCGUGGAGUUGAUGUGGGGUGAGUAUGGGCUGCCACUGGAGACAGACAGAAAACAAAUGAGAUACAGCAAACGCUGGAUGGUGGUAAAUGCUGUAGAGAAAAUAAAGGAGAGGGAGAGAGGGGAGAACAGUUCUGGAAGGGGUUGCCCUUUUAAGUAGCAUAGUCUUCCCUGAGAAGGUGACCAAGACCUGAAGGAAGGAGGGAGGGAGCCGUGCUUGUGGGUGGAGGAGAGAGAUGCAGUUGAGUGGAGUAGGAGCCCACCUGGGAUGUCAGGGAGACCCGAGUGACAGCAAGGGAGGGAGGAGGGCCGAGCUGAAGGAUCAGUGAGGGUCAGAGGGUAGCAGAGGGCUGGCUCAUUGCAGCCUUGGUGAAACCUGGGCUCUCUGGGAUGGGAAGUACUAAUUGGCAGAGGAUUGGCACCAAAGCUGCUUUGAAAAAUAGACACCUAAUCAUGAUAGUCACCGUUUACUGAACAUUUACACGUGCCAAGCCGCGUUCUCUGGUGCUUUACAUGGGUUCGCUCAUAGAAGCCUGGCAACUAAGAACCUCCAAGAAAGGACCUGAAUCACCAUGAUGCAUCAUUGAGUCAACACUGCCAGCGGACCAGGCCCUGGGCUAAGUGCUUUAUGUGAACAAAUACCUGGGAUCCUUAGGAGAUGGUCCUCCUAAGUUGCCGAGGCCAGCCUGGGACUU